rnacentral:rRNA from 1 species
GACGAACGCUGGCGGCGUGCCUAAUACAUGCAAGUAGAACGCUGAAGGAGGAGCUUGCUUCUCUGGAUGAGUUGCGAACGGGUGAGUAACGCGUAGGUAACCUGCCUGGUAGCGGGGGAUAACUAUUGGAAACGAUAGCUAAUACCGCAUAGGAGUAGAUGUUGCAUGACAUUUGCUUAAAAGGUGCAAUUGCAUCACUACCAGAUGGACCUGCGUUGUAUUAGCUAGUUGGUGGGGUAACGGCCCACCAAGGCGACGAUACAUAGCCGACCUGAGAGGGUGAUCGGCCACACUGGGACUGAGACACGGCCCAGACUCCUACGGGAGGCAGCAGUAGGGAAUCUUCGGCAAUGGACGGAAGUCUGACCGAGCAACGCCGCGUGAGUGAAGAAGGUUUUCGGAUCGUAAAGCUCUGUUGUAAGAGAAGAACGAGUGUGAGAGUGGAAAGUUCACACUGUGACGGUAUCUUACCAGAAAGGGACGGCUAACUACGUG